AGCCGCGCUCUGUGCACAAAGCGAACUAUUCUUUCGCCUUUUACUAAAGAAUACCGUGUGCACGCAGCAAAUAGUGGCAUACACUUAUUUUUGGAGGGCUGUCUGAAAAAGAUAGCC